rnacentral:rRNA from 1 species
UACGUAGGGGGCAAGCGUUGUCCGGAAUCAUUGGGCGUAAAGAGCGUGUAGGUGGCUCGGUAAGUCCGCUGUGAAAGUCCAGGGCUCAACCCUGGAAAGCCGGUGGAAACUGUCGAGCUCGAGUCCGGAAGAGGCGAGUGGAAUUCCUGGUGUAGCGGUGAAAUGCGCAGAUAUCAGGAGGAACACCAAUAGCGAAGGCAGCUCGCUGGGACGUUACUGACACUGAGGCGCGAAAGCGUGGGGAGCGAACAGG